rnacentral:rRNA from 1 species
UAGCGGCGAUAAGACGUGUGAUCUAUUCCGUAUACCGAACACAGUAAUUAAGCCCACAAACGCCGAAGGUACUUGGUUGGAAACGGCCUGGGAGAUUAGGAAGUUGCCGGUU